CCUCCUCCUCCUCCUCCUCAUCUUCCUCUUCUUUUCCUUGCUCUUUUCAGCCUUGACCACCCCCUUCCUUCGCCUCACCAGGUUUUCCUUCAGCUCUGUAGACAGCGAUAUCCCUUUUGUGUUUUCCACUAGGUAUGUUUAUCAGAUGUGCUUUGAAUGUAAGACAGCUCCCACAGGCUUGUGUGUUUGCGGUGUACUAGCCACACAGUUUGGCAAGGUUGUGGAAACUUCUAAAGGAAGUGGGUCACUGGGGGCAGACCUUGAAGCUUUAUAGCCUCGUCCCACUUCGUCUUCAUCCCUGUUGCCGAAUUCUAGAUGUAACCAUGUAACGGGUCAGUUUCCUUCCUUACUCUGUACCACACCUUCCCUGCCUGCUGACGUGCCUUGCCUUCCACUGGUCCCUGAAACGGUAAGCCAAAAUAAGCCCUGUCUCUCUUAAAUUGCUUUUUAAAGUUAUAAUUAAAAUUUUUGAGAUAAUAUAAUCACAUUUCCCCCUUCCCUUACCUCCCUCUAAAACCCUCCCAUGUACUCCCUCUUGAUCUCAUUCAAAUUCAAGGCAUCUUUUUUUCUGUACUUGUUGAUGUAUAUUCCUAAAUGCAUAAAUACAACUGGCUCCAUCUGUAUAAUGUUAAUUGUAUGUAUAUGUUUUCCAGACUGACCAUCUGGUAUCAGAUAACCAACGGGUGUGCCCUUUAGUUGCCUAUUGGUCCUUUGUCUAGGGUUGAGGCCUCAGGAGCUUUCUAUCCUCCAUAUGACCACAUCUGUUGGUAUCAUCCUUGUUCAGAUGAUCCCUGUUAUGCCCAGAUCAUGAUCCCAAAGAGACCACUGAAGACUUUGGAUGUCCAGAAUGCAACAGCAAGGAUAUUUUAUCACAACAACAAGAAAAUAACACACCAGAAAGUACAAGAAGAUAGCAUUGGAUCCUCUGAGAUUGGAGUUGCAGACGGUUGUGAGCUGCCAUGCAGCUGUUGGCAAUCGAACGAGGUCCUCUGGAAGAGCAGCCAGUACCUAUAACCACUGAACCAUCUCUCCAGCACCUGAACGCCAAUAUCUUCAGGGUAAUAAUGAGCCACCUUUGACAUAAGAAAUGUAAACGACCCCAACAAAAUGUCAAACCUUCUUGUGAUCAUUAUUUUACUCGUCAGGAGAUCAAACUCAGAAGGCUCACUGAAGACGUUGCCACUGGGGUUGUAGGAGUUGCUUGCUUGCUCAGGACAGAUGCCAGUGCUGUUCACUUGAAGCUUCAGCCUUCUCCAUACAUCUCUGAGUUUUCAACGUUUGGCGUAUUUAUCCCUUGUAUUUUGGUUGGUAGUUUGGAACAUACUGAAUCCUGCAUUCUGUUGUUUUCCUCAGUCCUUAAGAGUCCUGGUCCUGUCAAACCUUUAACUGUUCCACUAUGUUAUUACAGCAUCACCUGCAUUUCUGGGUCAGUGCAUUAUCUUGCAGAACAGUUAUUUAGCAUCUGCUCGCCACAUAGAUGGUGGUGAGUAGGAUAUAUGCAACAAUAACAAAAUGCCAAGUAGUGUUGUUCAGCUUUCUACGGCCUCACAUUGGAAUGCCAAAAUGUUGUUGGCUGUUUUUGCUUUUUUUUUUUUUGUGGGCCCACCACCUAGCUCCUAAAUAAAUACACAGAGAGGCUUAUUCUUACUUAUGAAUGCCCGGCCUUAGCUUGGCUUGUUUCUUGCCAGCUUUUCUUAACUUAAAUUAUCCCAACUACCUUUUGCCUCUGGGCUUUUUCCUUUUCUUAUUCCUGUAUAUUUUACUUUUACUCUUACUCCAUGGCUAGCUGUGUGGCUGGCCCCUAGCUUCCUCCUCUCCUUCUUCUCUUCUCUUUCUUCUUCUCCUCUCAGAUUUCUUCUUCUAUUUAUUCUCUUUGCCUGCCAGCCCUGCUACCCUUUCUCCUGCCUUGCUAUUGGCAGCUCUUAAUUAGUUUUCAAGUGUUUUAGACAGGCACAGUAACACAGCUUCACAGAGGUAAACAAAUGCAACAUGAAAGAAUGCAACACAUCUUUGCAUCAUUAAACAAAUGUUCCACAGUAUAAACAAAUAUAACACACCUUAAAAUAAUAUUCUACAACAAAGUAGUUAGCUAUUAAGAAAUAGCUCCGCAUGAAUGAGCAUUUAUAGGCAAUUUUCUGCUCAUGACAGAAAUAGCACUGAUCACAAAUCAGGUUCACUUCUUUCUUCUGCCUCUGGGGAGACAGCAUGGCCCAGUGUCCUUUGCAGUUAACUGGUACCUUGUCCAUGUGACUUGUCUCUGGCCACUAGGAUGUGAGCAGCAGUGGCACAUGCUUCCCCCACUGGCCUCCUUUCUUCUCUUUUUCCUUCCCCAUCUUCAUCUCCUGAAAACAAAGAGAAUAAAUAAAAAAGAUUUCACGGACCCACAAGUUUCCAUGUGGAAGACUCUACUGAACACUGUGAAUCUUUUUUUUCUUUUUUUUAUAUUAUUGAAUCUACUUUUUUUUUCAUUUUUCUUUAUUAAGAAAUUUUCUACUCACUCUACAUACUACCAACAGAUCCCACCUCCUCCUCCCAAGCCCUCUCUCCCAAGCCAUCCCCACAUCCCCAAAAUCAAAGUCUCCCAUGGGGAGUCAGCAGAGCCUGGCACACUGAGCCUAGGCAAGUCCAAGCCCCUUCCCACUGCACCAAGGCUACACAAGGCAUCACACCGCAGGCACCGGAUUCCCAAAAGCCUGCCCAUGCACUAGGGAUGGAUCCUGAUCCCCCUGCCUGGGUGCUCCCCAAACAGUUCGAGCCAAACAACCAUCUUCCGUAUCCAGAGGGCCUAGUCCGGUCCCAUGGGGGCUCCACAGCCACUAGUCUACAGUUCAUGAGUUUCCACUAGGAACACUAUGAAUCUUACCAUGAUGUUUCAGUUGCAAUCUGGAAGUCGUUUGCUGUAACACCUAACAUCCCACAUGUUUGCCACAUGUGAGUUCCAGGUAUGUAUUCAGCAUUACACACAUCAGCCUCUCUAUUGCACACUUCUUCCUUUGUUCCUAUAGUUCUCUUGUCCUGAAAGUCCCCAUUUCCACAUCUUUACCCACUAAGACCCAGGGAUGUGACAGCACAAAUGCUCCUUCUAUGAAGGCUCGUUUCUUAUUAUAGGCAAAACGAUCCCGUUUCCCUCUGAACUGCCACAGAGCUCUAUUCUCUUUUUCACACUUUUAUAGCUGAGUCUUGGCCACCGUUGUAUCCCUAGCACUUAUUAGCCUGCAAUAGUAAUCAUUCAGUGAAAGAAUGGGGUGCAUUUAUUUCUUCUACAAGGUUGGAUAAAUUCUUCGUGUAAGGGAUCAUGUUACAGUCAUCUUUAUACUUCCCAGUGAUGGCUACAGAAGAACUUGGUUUAUGAUAGGUAUUCUAAAAAGUUGUGAAUGUAAAUUGCUGUUCAUGAUGUUGGAGAGGUACGGUUUAUUUACUUUUUUUAUUUAGGACAGUUAUUUAUCAGAGCCCUGUACAUAUUUAAAAACUAUGGGAAAUGUGUCAUUGAAUUGACCUACAUUCCUUCUGCUGAAGUUUUACACCUUCUCUGAGUCUCGGUUACCCCACCCCACCCUCUACCCCCUGGCCUCAGUGCUCUGGAGCAGGAGAAGGUUCUGUUGGCUUAAGCUAUUUCUGUCGAACUGAUGUAUUUACAGAAGGGAUGGUAAUGAUUCAGCUGCUGUAAAUCAAGGCCACUGCAUUAUUUCAGGGAAGAUGGGCUUUGGAGUCUUUUCGCUCAUAAUUUCUAAAUUAGUCACAAAUUCAUGCUUGUAUGUAGGUGGGGAAAUGGGAUAUAAUUGCUUUGGGGGAGGAAUUAGAAAGUUGGCAAUUGGUGGUGCCAAUGCUCUUACAAUCCAUCACUAAUCAGUAGUAUAAAAAAAGGAAAACAGAGCACAGCUGCUCUGUGAUUACACAACCAAGAAAUCUGAACCAUGCAAAAAGGUCCUAUGGUAAAAGCAACAUGCAGCUGCUAAAUGAGAAUAUGGUUAAUACCUGAGGGGCAAACACAAUUUGAUUUUGGAAAACACACCUAUGUAUUAAAAUUACUCACCCUCAAGGUGGGUGGUGGUGGUUCAUGCCUUUAAUUUCAGCACUCAGGAGGAAGAGGUAAGUGGAUCUCUGUGAGUUUGAGGCCAGCCUGGUCUACAGAGUGAGUUCCAAGACAGCCAAGGCUACACAAAGAAAUCCUGUCUUGAAAAACAAAGCAAAACAACAAAAAAAGUAAAAAGAAAAAAAUGCUCAUCCUUAGGAUGCAUGGAGCAUAUAUCUUUAAUCCUAGCGUUUGGGAGGUGGAGUUAGGAAGAGUCAGAGCCAGAGGUCAGGCUGUGAGACUCCAUGUAAAGCAACAAAAAUGAAAAAUUAAAUCAGCCAACCAAACAAAAAGGAAUAUACACCCCCUCCCCCGAUUCUAAUUGUGGAUAACUUCAGAUCAUGUCCUAAAAUAUAAAAAUAUAUUCGUGUCCAACAUUACAAAGGUAGGAAAAUAACACUUUCAACUUUAAGUGUACAAUGAAUUCCUGGUAUGUUCUUGUAAAUUUCAAACAAUAAGGAAGAGACGGAAAAAUUUAAAUAUUUACAAUCCUUUUCUAACCCCAGUGUUCUCUGCUUCUAGAAGAAAACUUGAUAGGAUUCUGUGCAAUUGUAAAAUAUGUAUUUGCUCAUAGAAGUAUGACGCAGCGAAGUACUCAUAUAAGCACCUCAUAUUGCAUAUAGUAUUCUACCACUUGUCAUUUAUUCAGCAAUUAUAGUCUGAAAACUUUCUAUAUCUGCUUCUCUGACACUCAGCAUAGGGAUUUACUACAUUUUAUAAGGUUUGCUUCUUUUUUAUUUUAUGAAUAUUAGUGUGUGCCUGCAUGUAUGUCUGUGCACUACAUGGGUGCAGUACCCACAGUGGCCAGAAGAGGGUCCUGGGUCACCUGGAACUAGAGUUAGAGAUGGUUGUGAAUUGCCAUGUGGGUGCUGGGAACUGAACUCGGGUCUUCUGCCAGGGCAGUGAGUGCUCUUAACCACUGAGCCAUCUCUCCAAUCUCUAGUACAUUUUCUAUAACCAGAGAUUUGCAUUACACUGGAAGUUUUAUUAUGAAUUGUCAUAGUUAAAAACCAUUUUUUAUGUCUAGCACGUGAACGGUUGUUCUUUGGUUAGAAACUGAAAAAUGAAAUAACUGUAUUAAAGGAUAUUUAUAACGAUUUUUUUUAACUGAUGAAUGUUCCUCAGUGAUUGACAUGGAUACUUGCUUGUCACUGUGAUAAAAUAUCCUGACAAAAGAAACUCUGGGGAGAACGGGUUUAUUUUGGAGAAUGGGUUUAUUUUGGCUUACAGACACAAUCAUACCAGGGAAAGUACAGCCAGAAGCAGUGAAUGCAUGAGGGCAGGCGGCUGGCGGGUCACUUUGCAUCUGCCCUCAGAAAAUGGCGAGUCAGCAGGAAGUGGAACCCAACUAUAAAUCCUCAAAGCUCACCUCCAGCAACCCACUCCCUGCAGCAAGGCUCAAUUACCUGAAGGUUCCACAACCUUGCCCAACAGUAAUGCCAGCCAGAGACCAAGUUUUGAAGUGUUCAAUCCCUUGGGGGGUGGGGUGCAUUUCACAUUCAAACCUCAACAGUGAUCAGUUAGACUGCUGGUUCUCAAUCUGCGGGUCGUGAACCCUUUCACAGGGGUCUCCUAAGACCUUUGGAAAACAGAUAUUUCCAGUACGAUUUGUAACAACAGCAAAAUUUUGAAUCACCUUGAUGGACUGAGUUAUUGUUGGUUGGUCUUUGGUCUUUUUUUUUGAGGGGGGGGCUGCCACCCAGCUCCCUAAUAAAUCACACACGGAGGUUUAUUCUUAAUUAUGAAUGCCCGGCCUUAGCUUGGCUUAGUUUCUUACCAGAUUUCUUAACUUAUUCCAACUACCUUUUGCCUGUGGACUUUUCCCACUCUCUAACUUCUGUAAAUCUUACUCUUACUCUGUGGCUUACUGUGUAGUUGGGUGGCUGGUCCCUGGAGUCCUUCUCUUUCUCUGGCUCCUAACUCUCCAAUUCCUCUUCCCAGAUUUUUCCUUCUAUUUAUACUCUCUGCCUGCCAGCCCCACCUAUCCUUUCUCCUGCCUCGCUAUUGACCAGUUCUUUAUUAGACCAUCAGGUGUUUUAGACAGGCACAUUAACACAGCUUCACAGAGUUAAACAAAUGCAACAUAAACAAAAGUAACACACCUUAAAAUAAUAUUCUACUACACUGAGUGGCCAAUUUAUUGACAAAUAUGGAUUGAACACUGUUGUUUUUUUAUCCCAAGUAUAAUGAAAACAAAUUGUAAAAUGUAUUUCUUUAAUAGGUGGCAUAGGCUAUAAAUAUUUAAAUAGAUAAACAGUAUUCCAUGUAGUAUAUGUGCUUUGAAAAAAAAAUAAUACACAGGUAGUACAGAUGAGACCAUCUGUAGGCAGGCAGAGAAGAGGAGGGGAGGGCAGGAAAGGGCGCUCACCCUCCAGAAUCUGAACAUUUCUCAUGAUCUCCAUCUCCCAAACUGAACAGCCAUCUUCCCUAAGCUUCCCCAAGAAGGGGACGAGAGAGAACAAAACUAGUAUCUGAACAUUUGGAAUAGGGAGAUGAUUCAAAGAGGCCCAAAGCAACAGCGAGCUAGGCAGUGUUGAAGUCUGUGGGGAGCGGAGGAAACCUGGGUAGUGACGUAAUGAGUGAAUGUGUGCUAUUGACAUGGACACAGCCAUGUCAAGGGCCCCCUAACAAAGGCUUCCUCAGGGGACAGAGUUUGAGUGUUGAGACUGAAGAAAAUGUCCACCACAGCCUCCCACCUCCCACCCCAGUUGUUUAUAGCCUAAAGACUGCUCCCCUACAGGGACUGUGAAGAACCAGCUUGCCUCCAUCUUAGGCCUAAAAGCUGUCUUACAGUAAAGGCAAACCAGGUUCAUUCCUGUUUAUGAUUAAACCUCUGUUUCUCAAGGAUUGGGCUAUGCCCCAAACUGUAACCUCAACUACACAUGGUCUUGUACUGCCUAUUCCAAGAAUGGCAAUAAUGUCUUUGUUUCAAAAAGUUGUUUAUUACCAUCUUGCAACCCUACCUUUGUUUUGAGAGGUUAUAUAAAUACCUAUGACUACCUUGUUACAAUUACCUGUUAUUUUGACUACCCGUUUUGCCCACCUUGUAACCGUGUCUGUGUUUCAGGAGGGACUAACUUGUUAUGUUUAUGUCCUGCUCCUGUGACCCUGCCUAUUUUGCCUGUCAAGUCCCCCACCUGGAAACCUCCUACCCCUGAGCUGUAAAAACCUUGUCUUCCUCACAUCCAAUGCUAAACCUCUCCAACCCCUCCUUAGGGGGAGGCAGCCCGUGUAUAUGAAUAAAAAAA